rnacentral:lncRNA from 1 species
GUAAUCAGCAACAAUAAUUAAGCAAUUAGCAAUCAGAAGAAGACUCAACACUAUGACUCAAUUGAACUGUCCCCGAAAUCUAUUCCUAAUCCUCUCCCACAGAAACCCUCUAAGUAAAGCACACAAACUUUGAACAACCUACAUCUCAAUUCUAUUUCACAGACACAAUUAGACCAAGUACAUUGAAUUUUAAGUCAUCAGAAAAGUAAUCUUUUCUCAACUAGUAAAAUCCAGUUCAAGAUUUCGAUUCACAUGCAAGAUCUUCACCCCCAGCCUCUCAGUUGACAAGGAAUAGCACAUCCCCCUUUCCGCGAGCCUGAGCCUUAGAUUCCUGAAACGCCCUCUCAUUGGCUUCAUGCACCGCAACUCUUUCACCAACACAAGUCUGCACAUUAGUCAAAAUCACAACCAAACCCUUCAAUCCCUUCUUCUUCUCUUCACCCCCUCUGUUGCACCGUCGCCCAAACGCCAUUACCUCCCUAAAAACCCUCCCAAAUUCAGAUUUCUUGACGCCCAAGGAACCAAGAACCUUCUCAACAACAACUCUCGAUUUCUCCUCUUCUUGAUCUUUAAAGAAAAGCCCUCCAUCUAGACAAAUAGUCUUUUCAUCCACAGCUUCUUGACACUCUCCGAUGACCGGUGAUGAAUCCGAUGAAGCCACGCCACGGGGUUCCAAGAAUUGUUGCUUAGCAUGAGUAGAGAAGGUAAUGUGGAGAGGAAGAGGAGAGCAAGUAGAAGUACAAGGAGGAUGAUGAUCAUAUGAAAAGGCUUUCCUUACACGAACUAGUAAGCUUGUUUUGUUAAGUUUGAGGAUGCUGUGAUGGGGAUAUCGUGCCAUUGUUUCGGACAGGAGUUCUUGGGAAAGGUUGAAUAUGAUGAUACUAGGGUUUAAGAAAUAUUGUAACGUACUGUAAUAUAAAGAAUUGUAUUAUGGGAGGACGGUGUGUACACACACACACGUAAGUAGACACCUUUUAGAGUAUCUCCAACGCUGUUGACUAUAAUUGUUGGUUAAAUUGGAUCCGUAAGAUAUUAUGUAAAAAUAAGUAGACACCUUUUAGAGCAUCUCCAACAUUGUUAGCUAUAAUCGUUGGCUAAAUUGGAUCCGUAAGAUAUUAUGUAAAAUUUGUUGAACCUGUAAGACAUUUCGCUUCAAUGGUAUUGGCUAUAUUGGUUGGCUAUAAUUUAAAAAUAGUAUGUUAUUAAUAUUUUAUAUUGUUAAAAUAGAAUAUAUCAGUUCAAUAUGUUAAUAAAUGAUGUGCAAUCUUCCUACAAAUUUGUUAUAGACCUGUAGAGGUUCGACAAAUUUAGCCAUCUCUAGGAGGUUGGCUAAAUUUAUAGACAACAGAUUUAGAAGCCUUUUUAUUGCUGCUUAAACAGCAAUAUAAAGCAAUUCUUCUAACAGGCACAAGCAUAAUAACUACCAAAAAAAUAAGGCAUCAAACAAGUAAAGUUGUCACAACUAGUAAAAUACAGAGCAGGACCAAAUUUUGAAUUGCAUAAAAGAUUUCAACCAUGAGAUUAAACUUUCAAUUGAAAAGUACUCCCUUUUUAUGAGCUUCAGACUUGGAUUUUUGGAACUAUAUCUGCACCCCUUCAUGAACCGGAACUCUUUCACCAAUACAAGACUGCGAAAAAUCAAAGUCACAACCAGAACUUCUAAAGUUUAAGCGGACCAAAAUUCAUAAAAAAGCACUCUCAAAUUAAAUAUUCUAACACGAAAUACACAUGCAAAUUAACUGUAUCUUGGAUAAGAUAUAAGUGGUUAUCAGCCGUCACAAUUCAAAACCCUAGCUAUAUAAGAACAACAAUCAGCAAAAGAAGGAACUUUUGAUUUUUUUUUGUUGUAAUCUAACAAUGCAGACCAGGAAUCAAAUUCAGCAAAACAGGACAUUGGAAUAAUCUUUUGUGAACCAAACUAAUCAUAAUAAAACUCAUACAAUGUCCCAAACACCUAAUUCUAAUCCAUACUGUAUAAACCAUUAUUCCUCUGCUUAAAAAACCUUGAACAGCAUACAUCUCAAUUCUUCUAGACAGACACAACUAUGACAAAUACAAGGGUAUUAGCAUCAGAAGAAUAAAGCUGUUCUCAACUAGUGACAUACAGAGCAGAUCCAAAAUUAAAAUUAGAUUCACAUUUGAAACACAAAUUGACAUUAAUUAAGUGGUAAUCAGCAACAAUAAUUAAGCAAUUAGCAAUCAGAAGAAGACUCAACACUAUGACUCAAUUGAACUGUCCCCGAAAUCUAUUCCUAAUCCUCUCCCACAGAAACCCUCUAAGUAAAGCACACAAACUUUGAACAACCUACAUCUCAAUUCUAUUUCACAGACACAAUUAGACCAAGUACAUUGAAUUUUAAGUCAUCAGAAAAGUAAUCUUUUCUCAACUAGUAAAAUCCAGUUCAAGAUUUCGAUUCACAUGCA